CCUACGGGGGGCAGCAGUGGGGAAUAUUGCACAAUGGGCGCAAGCCUGAUGCAGCGACGCCGCGUGAUCUAUGAAUGCCUUCGGGUCGUAAAGCUCUGUCCUACGGGAAGAAUAAUUACGGUACCUUAGGAGGAAGCCCCGGCUAACUACGUUCCAGCAGCCUCGGUAAUACGUAGGGGGCGAGCGUUAUCCGGAAUCACUGGGCGUAAAGGGUGCGUAGGCGGCCCUGCAAGUCAGGAGUUAAAUCCCUCGUCUCAACCGAGGUCAGCUCUUGAAACUGUAGGGCUUGAGUGCAGGAGAGGAGAGCGGAAUUCCUAGUGUAGAGGGGAAAUGCGUAGAAAUUAGGAGGAACACCAGGGGCGAAGGCGGCACAAGAGACUGCAACUAACGCUGGGGAACGAAAGCAUGGGAAGAAAACAGGAUUAGAUAACAGUGUAGAC
rnacentral:rRNA from 1 species